UGGGGAAUAUUGGACAAUGGGGGGAACCCUGAUCCAGCCAUGCCGCGUGUGUGAAGAAGGCCUUAGGGUUGUAAAGCACUUUAAGCGAGGAGGAGGCUCUCUUGGUUAAUACCCAAGAAGAGUGGACGUUACUCGCAGAAUAAGCACCGGCUAACUCUGUGCCAGCAGCCGCGGUAAUACAGAGGGUGCGAGCGUUAAUCGGAGUUACUGGGCGUAAAGCGUGUGUAGGCGGCUUUUUAAGUCGGAUGUGUAAUCCCCGUGCUUAACUUGGGAAUUGCAUUCGAUACUGGGCAGCUAGAGUAUGGGAGAGGAUGGUAGAAUUCCAGGUGUAGCGGUGAAAUGCGUAGAGAUCUGGAGGAAUACCGAUGGCGAAGGCAGCCAUCUGGCCUAAUACUGACGCUGAGGUACGAAAGCAUGGGGAGCAAACAGG
rnacentral:rRNA from 1 species